UACAGAGGUCCCAAGCGUUGUUCGGAUUCAUUGGGCGUAAAGGGUGCGUAGGCGGCUUUCUAAGUCGGAUGUGAAAACUCUGGGCUCAACCCAGAGCCUGCAUCUGAAACUGGAGAGCUAGGGUUUUGGAGGGGAAAGCGGGAAUUCCAGGUGUAGCGGUGAAAUGCGUAGAUAUCUGGAGGAACACCGGUGGCGAAGGCGGCUUCUGGACAAAUACCGACGCUGAGGCACGAAAGCUAGGGGAGCAAACAGG
rnacentral:rRNA from 1 species